AUUGAACGCUGGCGGAAUGCUUUACACAUGCAAGUCGAGCGGCAGCGCGGGGGCAACCCUGGCGGCGAGCGGCGAACGGGUGAGUAACAUAUCGGAACGUACCCAGUCGUGGGGGAUAACUAUCCGAAAGGAUAGCUAAUACCGCAUACGUCCUGAGGGAGAAAGCGGGGGAUCGCAAGACCUCGCGCGAUUGGAGCGGCCGAUAUCGGAUUAGCUAGUUGGUGGGGUAAAGGCUCACCAAGGCGACGAUCCGUAGCGGGUCUGAGAGGACGACCCGCCACACUGGAACUGAGACACGGCCCAGACUCCUACGGGAGGCAGCAGUGGGGAAUUUUGGACAAUGGGGGCAACCCUGAUCCAGCCAUUCCGCGUGAGUGAAGAAGGCC
rnacentral:rRNA from 1 species